rnacentral:other from 1 species
UUUGCCCUGGAGCGUGCGUGAUCUGUGUCUCGGUGCUAACCUGACAAGCAUUUGAAAAAGGGCCGCUGUUCCUGUUUCCCGUGUGCGUGCCCGUCGUGACGGGAGGCCUGACGGAAGCAAACAUGGCCCGACCUGGGAGACCAGGUUCUGUACCGCAGAUAUGACACGGCGUUUUGGGGCUUUC